CGCGCUUUGGUGUAGUGGUCGCACAGCAAGCUCAUGACUUGUUAGACCAGAGUUCAAACCCUGGAAUGCGC
rnacentral:tRNA from 1 species